AAAUAAAAAAAAAAACAAAAAAAGAAACAACUGGCGGAUGUUUACAAUUAAUAAAAAACAUUGACAUCGUAUGUUGAUCGUUUUUGCCUGUCAUUCGUUCUUUCUAUGGAUGACUGUCAAGCUAACAAGACAUACAGAACAUUUCAACGUGAUUAACAUUCUGCGUACAACACAAAGCAAAUUUAAUUCCAUCGAUUUGCUACAUUUAUUCGAACCGAUUUUGUGUUUUUCUGCUGACCGUGCAACACACACAAAGCAAGUGAGUAUUGUUAUUGUUUCGUAAGUGCUUCCAUGCGGUUCGCAAAUACACUGUUGGUGGGUCUUAUUGCAUAUGCGUGUGUGG